UAUGAGAAAAAAAGGGAAAUUGUAAACUGUGGAUUUUAUUUUACAAGUUAAUGGACUUUUAUUUUGAAAGAUGCGUCUUUUCCUGCUGACACAGUCCAUGUGACUGGCAACAGCCAAUCGGGUUGUUGUUGAGCUGAGAGCUCCGGUGCUAGAGCGUAGCCUUCAUUGCAAGCUCCGCAGCCCGAGGAACGCAAUCUAUCAAAGUUUGAAACCUAUUUAUUUCAUUUUUUUACCUCGUGGUGAAGUUAUUUUUUGUUUUUUCCACCUGUUUGGCCUGGAAAAAAUUUUUUUCUUUACCGAAUGGGACUUGUCUUGGUUGGUGAGUGUUAAAACAAUAUUUGUUGAAUGAAUAUGAUAUUUAAUAUAUUUUUUGGGGAAAUGUUGUGAAACGGCAGACUAUGGCAGUGAAUUUAUGUUGUUUUAUGUAUUUAUGGUCAAGUUGUAGAAGUUUUGGCGCGUUAAAGUGAAAGCUUCGCCCAGACAUUCCAUCCGCCAUUACAUGCUGCGUAACUUAAGAGUUCGGUUAACACGAAACUGCCAUGUUUUUAUUUAUUCCUACGGACUGCUUUGGUAUUUUAAUUUACUUAUUUGAGUUUAUUUUAUGUUGGAAUGAUAGGCCAUUAAGAUUGGGCCGAAAAAACUGACUCCUCAAUCCGGGAUUCAUGUGCGUGAAGAAAACAAGAUGGCGAGCCAACCCUGAACCUCUUGAAGUAGCAAAGGACCAAGCGCCCUCUGCUGGACACUUGACAACCCUUUUUCAUCCUGUGGAACUGGUUCGGCUUUUGGCACAUCGAGUUUAAAUUUCUCCUUGACGUCGAGUGACUUGCCAACUUCAGCCUUCAAAACGAGCUGAACCGAUCUCUUUGUCCCUGGACGGAACCGGCCUGACAGUCUGCCAGAGAAACUUCAGGAGCAAAUGGCGUGAUGGUGACAAAAGAGGCACGAAGCCCACAGAGGGAAGAGACUGUAAUGAAUGAGUCCUCCUCCAAAACCUGAUCGGAAGUAUCAUCUUCCUGCAUUGACUGAGACGAUCUACCAAAACUUCACGUCACCAUUCUUGUUGAAUAGUUCCUUUUGUUUGUGAUCUACUAUAAUUUAUUCUAAUGCUAAUUUAUUUUAUUUCUAACAUUCAUAACAACUAUAAAGGGCAUAUACUACGGGUCUGUGACCUUCAACAUUUAAAGAGCCAAUCGGGUCGAUUUUUCGCCAACCACAACUCACAGUCGUACAAAAAUAAGAUACUCCUUUGUUUUUAUGUCAUUUUUACUAUUUUGAUCGAUAUCAAUAAAUUUGUGUGUUUUUUGUGCAUGAACAAAAACAUUAAUUUACAAGAAAAAUAUUUUUAUCUAGAUAUGAAAUAGGUUACUUUUGACAUGAGUUCCUUUCAAAAUAAAAGACACAGGAUCAUCUCACGGCAGCGAAUGUUGUAGUAGUUGGUCUAUACCAAUAAAAAUCACAAAAACAACUAAUAUUCAUAAAUAACUUGUUCUUUACGUAACAUAUGAUCAUAUAUAUGGGUCUAGGUUACUCUGAAACUUUAAGAAAAUCAUGGUUUAGGCAUAAAUAAUACAAAUGAAAAAAGAUUGAUGAUGAAUAGAAAAUCUUACCUGCAUCCUAUCAGAACUUCUCACAUCAACAUCAUCCACAGGAAAGCAAACAAACUAAAACCAGCAUGCAAUGGAGAGGAAAAUAACAGAUAGGUAACUCAUUAUGAAAAACAGUAAUGAUGGAACACAAAGACAAACAAAUAAACAAACAAACAAAUCUAUUCAACAGUCUCAUAUCCUCCGUUGCCGCAUUCUAACCUUCCUCCCACCCGUGACUUCACUUCAGCUCCUUACCUAGCGCUGUUCUUGCUGGUGUGGCAUCACUCUUGAUCCAGAAGGACACCCAGGACAGAACCACAGUCAGGAUACAGGGGAUGUAGGUCUGGAUGGUGAAGUAACCCAUCCUCCGGCUCAGGUCAAAGUAAACCGUCAUCAACACAUAGUCUCCUGUUGACACAGAGAGAAAGAAAGACCGUGGUAAAAAGCUGCAAACCAAUUCAAGUUCUGAUGUACUUAUUGGGGUCAAACGUCAACUUUGGUUACAACUGAAAGAGAAUGUGUAUGAAGAUAAACAGUCUUCUUAUUGCAGCAGAUGAAUAACAGCACUGCAGGCUAUUAACCACCAACACAUGAAGAUUUACUGAACCAAGGUUGACAAACACACGUAGGAUCUACAAUGUGUAGAGUUCCUCUAAAGUAUUUCCUUAAAUUACACUGAUGUUGAAACAAUAAAUCCCCAUGGCUCAUUUGAAAAAAGAGAUUUUUUUAAUCUCAAUAGGACUUCCCUGGUUAAAAAAAAAUAAAAUACUAUCAAGUUAGUUCUUGACAUUCUGGUGAAAAGAGGCCAAGACUGAAGAAUCAAUUUGUAUUCCUACGAUCCAACCAGAUUAUAUGCUUGAGGCAAGCUGUUAAUGAAAAAAAAAGUUUCAAAAUGAGAUAAAUCGAUAUUGAAUUGAGACAUGAUAGGUUUGUAAAAAUGACCAACAGUGAGCUGAACUAUAUGAAACUAAAAUGUUAUUCAGUUGUUCAGCCAGCUGCUGAUGCUCUGGAAGUAACAGAUGCUAGCCAGCUUGUUGCUAGUGUCUCUUUAUCGUCUGCAUUGACUUGGUGAAUAAUUUCUUACUUUAAAAGAAAGAAAAAAAAAAAGCAGACAAAUUAGUCUGAAUGGUUGAACUUGAAGACAUUUUUAGGAACUCUGCUAAAAGCCCCAAUGAUUUGCAUCAAAUAACAUCGAUUGAUGAACAAUCAUCACCACUAAAUAAAAAGCCUACAUUAAAUUGUAACAUUUUUGUUUCAAACCCCCAGUAUCUACUCAAUAACAGUUCGUCUUCCAAAUGAAAGACGGACAUUACAAAAAUCCAUAUUUUUACUGUAAUGGAGUCCGAUUCUAUUUUAAUGCUCGUUGGCAUUUCAGAAGAAAUGUCUGCAGUAAAGAGAAAUGACGGCCUUGAAUUGCAGAAGUGAAAACACUAACUACAGUGUUGCCCGUCUUUAGUCUCUGCCACCUCUUACAGUAAUAACAUAGAAUUUUCCCAUUGUAGGAUCCAGUCACUGCUUUCUGAAGCUUUCAGAACAGCUUUGUCUUAUGAAAUUGGGUUAAAACACUUCUGUUAUGAAUCCUCCUGAUAUCAGGACGAUUGGAAAAAAAUCUAUUAAAUUAUAUUGAUAGACACCAAUGAACAAUGGUGACGACGAAUGCUCAUUACUAUGAAGACAUCACAUCUACACUAUAAGACCUAAAAAACAAACAUACAAACAACUGGUGAAUAAGGUGCCAUGACUUUUAGAGCACUCUGUUCUGACGUCCUGUUUAUUGAACGCGGCACAGCACCUCACUAGAAAAUGGGAAACGGUGGACAUAAACGACACGUUCUAAACAAUGAAAAAGAGUUUAAAGUGAAACCAGCUCGAUUGCUUUUAUCCGACAAUAAACAAAGGUAAACUUCUUUCCUCCAAUUCUGGGGUUUCAGAGGAGAAAUGUGAGUGUCGCAUCAUGUCACUACGAUAAUAUAACACCCAUAGGCUAAUGAAACUGUAAUUCCCUACAAGCAGCAUCAAACGGACCGCUGAACACAAGACAAAUUUAAAAAAAAGUGACAAAAAAUUCACUGUAUCACAAGCACAGAGUUAUUAACUUCUCUCAUUUAGAGAUCCUUAAACCACAACAACAACAAGAGUCUAGCUUACAGGCAGAAACACAGAUCCUAACACAACACUGUGAAGUUUCACAUCAUAACAUGAAAUAUCCCUAAAGGAUGUUUAGACAAUCUGAUGGUGUGAAAACAGGACGGAGAACGAAGAGGAUCUCACUUUAUCAGGCUAAUCUGACCCUUUUCUCUGUUUUGUUGUUUCACUAAACACCAUCAGUCGCAAGUGUGAAGAAACACAAAGAAAUGAUGCAGUAAAAGGAGAGGUUUGCUUUUUUCCUGCAGUUUAGAUAAAACUGUGAUCCAAGUUUGGGUUUUCCACUAAAACCUCAUUAGAAUCAGUGUUUCAAGAGUUUUGUCUCUUUAACCUGUGAACAUCAGAGCAUCACACCCACACUCAUCUGACAUGAAUGGAGGCAGCAGAAGCAAUGGCUUCAUCUCCAGCUCCACUGUGGAGGCUUCUUUGUUAGGAGCAGGCGUCCCUGCAAACAUCCCCGUGUUUGCAUUUUGUUAGGAUAGUAGCAGCUGUUGACAUACGCGGGCUCUUCCCACACUACUACCUUUUAGUGUUUGAAAAAUGAUUUUCAUCCAUUAACGAGCUGAAAUGAAAGGACUUUGCUGGGUUUGCUUCCAAACGUGUUUAUCAUAGGAGCUUUUAAUUAUUUGUUGGAGCAAAAACAAUAUUAAUGAUUUCAUGGCGCUGCACUUUAAUAAAAAAAAAAAAAAAAA